rnacentral:hammerhead_ribozyme from 1 species
AUCUAACUGACGAGUCCCAAAUAGGAAGAAACACGUGUCUUGGAU